UACGCAGGGGGCGAGCGUUGUCCGGAUUUAUUGGGCGUAAAGAGCGUGUAGGCGGCCAGGUAGGUCUGCUGUGAAAACUCGAGGCUCAACCUCGAGACGUCGGCGGAAACCAUCUGGCUAGAGUCCGGAAGAGGAGAGUGGAAUUCCUGGUGUAGCGGUGAAAUGCGCAGAUAUCAGGAAGAACACCCGUGGCGAAGGCGGCUCUCUGGGACGGUACUGACGCUGAGACGCGAAAGCGUGGGGAGCGAACAGG
rnacentral:rRNA from 1 species